UGGGGAAUAUUGCACAAUGGGCGAAAGCCUGAUGCAGCGACGCCGCGUGAGGGAUGACGGCCUUCGGGUUGUAAACCUCUUUCAGCAGGGAAGAAGCGAAAGUGACGGUACCUGCAGAAGAAGCGCCGGCUAACUACGUGCCAGCAGCCGCGGUAAUACGUAGGGCGCAAGCGUUGUCCGGAAUUAUUGGGCGUAAAGAGCUCGUAGGCGGUUAGUCGCGUCUGCUGUGAAAACUCGAGGCUCAACCUCGGGACUUGCAGUGGGUACGGGCUGACUAGAGUGCGGUAGGGGUGACUGGAAUUCCUGGUGUAGCGGUGGAAUGCGCAGAUAUCAGGAGGAACACCGAUGGCGAAGGCAGGUCACUGGGCCGCAACUGACGCUGAGGAGCGAAAGCAUGGGGAGCGAACAGGAUUAGAUACCCUGGUAGUCCAUGCCGUAAACGUUGGGCACUAGGUGUGGGGUACCAUUCCACGGAUUCCGUGCCGCAGCAAACGCAUUAAGUGCCCCGCCUGGGGAGUACGGCCGCAAGGCUAAAACUCAAAUGAAUUGACGGGGUC
rnacentral:rRNA from 1 species